CAGGAUGAACGCUGGCGGCGUGCUUAACACAUGCAAGUCGAACGGAGAUUACUUUUAGCUUGCUAUUUGUAAUCUUAGUGGCGGACGGGUGAGUAACGCGUGGGUAACCUGCCUUAUCCAGGGGGAUAACAGUGAGAAAUUACUGCUAAUACCGCAUAAGCGCACAGUUUCGCAUGAAACAGUGUGAAAAGAUUUAUCGGGAUAAGAUGGACCCGCGUCUGAUUAGCUAGUUGGUGAGGUAACGGCCCACCAAGGCGACGAUCAGUAGCCGGCCUGAGAGGGUGAACGGCCACAUUGGGACUGAGACACGGCCCAAACUCCUACGGGAGGCAGCAGUGGGGAAUAUUGCACAAUGGGGGAAACCCUGAAUGCAGCGACGCCGCGUGAGUGAAGAAGUAUUUCGGUAUGUAAAGCUCUAUCAGCAGGGAAGAAAAUGACGGUACCUGACUAAGAAGCCCCGGCUAACUACGUGCCAGCCGCCGC
rnacentral:rRNA from 1 species